AACGAACGCUGGCGGCAGGCUUAACACAUGCAAGUCGAGCGCCCCGCAAGGGGAGCGGCAGACGGGUGAGUAACGCGUGGGAAUCUACCCAUCUCUACGGAACAACUCCGGGAAACUGGAGCUAAUACCGUAUACGUCCUAAGGGAGAAAGAUUUAUCGGAGAUGGAUGAGCCCGCGUUGGAUUAGCUAGUUGGUGGGGUAAUGGCCUACCAAGGCGACGAUCCAUAGCUGGUCUGAGAGGAUGAUCAGCCACACUGGGACUGAGACACGGCCCAGACUCCUACGGGAGGCAGCAGUGGGGAAUAUUGGACAAUGGGCGCAAGCCUGAUCCAGCCAUGCCGCGUGAGUGAUGAAGGCCCUAGGGUUGUAAAGCUCUUUCAACGGUGAAGAUAAUGACGGUAACCGUAGAAGAAGCCCGGCUAACUUCGUGCCAGCAGCCGCGGUAAAAGUCAACGUCG
rnacentral:rRNA from 1 species